rnacentral:rRNA from 1 species
GAGUUUGAUCGUGGCUCAGAUUGAACGCUGGCGGAAUGCUUUACACAUGCAAGUCGAGCGGCAGCGCGGGGCAACCUGGCGGCGAGCGGCGAACGGGUGAGUAAUGCAUCGGAACGUGUCCAUGUCGUGGGGGAUAGCCCGGCGAAAGCCGGAUUAAUACCGCAUACGCCCGAGAGGGGAAAGUGGGGGACCGCAAGGCCUCACGCGAUUGGGUCGGCCGAUGUCCGAUUAGCUAGUUGGCGGGGUAAAGGCCCACCAAGGCGAUGAUCGGUAGCUGGUCUGAGAGGAUGAUCAGCCACACUGGGACUGAGACACGGCCCAGACUCCUACGGGAGGCAGCAGUGGGGAAUUUUGGGACAAUGGGGGCAACCCUGAGUCCAGCCAUUCCGCGUGAGUGAAGAAGGCCUUCGGUUGU